ensembl:lncRNA
GCAGCACCGCUCCUUCUGAGAGGAAAUAUUUCCUAAUACCCAACCUGAACCUCCCCUGGUGCAACUGCAGGCCAUACCUGGGGGCAGAGGCUGACCUCCACCUCACUACAACCUCAUUUCAGGUCACUGUAGAGAGCCAUAAGAUCUCCCCUGAGCUUCCUCUUCUCCAAAAUGAACAAUCCCAGUUCCCUCAGCCGCUCCCCAUCAGGCUUGUGCUCCAGACCCUCCACCAGCUUUGUUGCCCUUCUUUGGAUGAAGUGGAUAACAAUUCAUUUCUGUACACUCAGUGAAUACUAAGGGGGUUGUUAUGUGGUCUCCCAAUCCAUACUGGAGGAAAAGCCACCAAAUCAUGCCCUACCCAUGCAGAAGAAGAAGAGAUGCACCCACCUGACAGUGACUAUAUUGGCCUUGCAGAAAAGAGUAGGCGUAGGGAGAAAUCAUGAUGUUCAGUCCCCAUUCAGACCCAUCUCUCUAGCUGCUUCUGGCCCAGUGUUCAGGCAGAUAAUGGCACAGCUGGCAGUGAGCCCAUGCUUUUCUCUGCUGGUGUACGAUGCUGGGAGGAAGGGUUCAUUCAGCAAGCCCCCAGGGCUCUCCUCUGGAUGGCACCAUCCCAGUUCUUCCAGAAGAGAGAGAGAAAGGGUGCUUUUGGUGCCAUUUCUAUAGCUGCUGCUAUUUGGCACCACAGGAUAUGCCCUUAUUUCCUCCCAUUCACUAUCCUGACUCACUUAGCAGGGCUGAUGAUUGUCUCUCAAAGAUUUUUACCUGUGAUGGGAAACGAACAACUAAGGAGGGCAGAAGAGAAGGAGGAGUUGAGGAAGAUGAAGAGGAUGGGAGAGAAGAGCCUUACAAAAGUCUUCACAGAACCAUCUCUGAUCAAAAGCACAGAAAAGGCUCAUUAGAUGCAGGUGAAAACAAAGAUAAAAUGAAUAGCUCAGAAGUAAGAGGUGAUGCAUGAAAAAUGCAUGAAAUGGAGACAGACUGAUGAGCUUGAGCCCUCUGUAGCACACGCUCUGCUACCCGUGACCAGUUGUUCUAUUUUGGUCUCCAUUUGAGGAAAGGAUGGGAAACGCUGAGCUUUGCUCUCCGUGACAGCGACAGGGCCUGAGGGAACAGCAUGGAGCUGUGCCAGGGGAAGGUCAGGUUGGAGGUUAGGAUGAGGUUCUUCACCAGAGGGUGGUGGGCAUGGAACAGGCUGCCUAGGGCAGUGGCACGGCCCCGAGCUGCUGGAGUUCAAGGAGCGUCUGGUCUGGUCAAUGUACUCAGACAUAAGGUCCGACUUCUGAGUGGUUCUGUAUGGAGCCUAGAGUCGGACUUGAUGGUCCUUAUGAAGAGACCUUCUUCAGUUGCCUUCUCUGAUGCUGCAUGUUGGUCCUGGCUGUACAUCUGUGUGAACCUGGGCACGUUUUAUUUGGCUCUGAGCUUCACUGCUUCCUUCCAGAAGAACAGCCACUGCCUGCUGAUGGUCAGUAUGGAUGCGGUGUCCUCGGCGUGGGGUUGACUGUUGCUGUGCCCUCCUCUACCUAGCAGACAAGUCUUACGCUAGAGCUUGUUUUUCCCCUCUCAGAGGACUGCAAUCAUGUACUCAAGAUCCGGAAUGAAAUCCAGUAUAAUAAUAAUGAUGGUAAUACUAUGUACUCUUA